GUCACAGCCAUAGACUUUACCCUUACUGUUCUUACUGGGUCUCAGACCCAGUCCUUAUGUUCCUGCACUCCAAGUGGCACAUUUAAGUUUUCUGAGCGGUCCUCUUGAAGUUCCUGUUACUUGUAUUGAAUUACAAUCCAAUAAUUUUUUCCCAUGGAAAUUCUCUCCCUACCUCUUCCAACUCAACUGGAAGAUGAUGCUGACCAACUUGGUCAUUGCCUUUGCAAGUCCCACACAAGUGGCCUAGCACUCCUUUAAUAUGGGGUACUUGGAACGUCUUGCCUUAUUCUUGGAUUUUUGGUGCCUCCAUCAAAAAUAAAGCAGGAUGACUUCAGUGUUAUUAUCAUCCAGCAACAUUAGUUAAUACUCUUGACUCAGGCUCAGUGGUGUACUGGAGCUGGUUGUUAACCAUGGCCAUUAUUGAAGUUUAAAUGACACAAAAUUCCAAUUAAAUAAAUUGUAUUACAAAGGAAGGUAACAAAUUGUCAAAGAUCAUCAUUUCCUAAUUAUUUCACUCCAUUUUACUGUUACCUUUACUCUUGGGAUUAUUUACGUCUAUUGUAUCUGUAUGGUUAAAAAAAAAAAAUUAUGUGAUGGUGUACCACUGCACAUUUUUUCCCAACUCUGCAUUCAGUGACCUAACUUUGAUAGCUUGAAAUUGGUUAUAGUAGGAGUAUUUACACCAAGGAAAUUGGCAAGUGCAACAAAUCGGGUUCUCCCUACCUCUAGGCCUGUUAUUAAACACUUACCAGUUCACCGCUGCUCAGGAUCCACUCUUCAAAGAUGUUAAGAACUAGCAAGAUAACAGAUGCUAUCCAAGAUGUGACUGCUUCCACUUCACCUUUGGCCAUGAUUGUAAGUUUCCUGAGGCCUCCCCAGCCAUCGUUCCUGUACAGCCUGCAGAACU